UACGGGGGGGGCGAGCGUUGUUCGGAAUUACUGGGCGUAAAGGGUUUGUAGGUGGUCUGCUAAGUCAGACGUGAAAUCCCUCAGCUUAACUGGGGAACUGCGUCUGAUACUGGCGGACUUGAGGACAGGAGAGGAACGCGGAAUUCCAGGUGUAGCGGUGAAAUGCGCAGAUAUCAGGAGGAACACCUAUGGCGAAGGCAGCUCGCUGGGACGUUACUGACGCUGAGACGCGAAAGCGUGGGGAGCAAACAGG
rnacentral:rRNA from 1 species